GGAUGCUUACCCAAGUGGCUGAAGGGUUCGGUCUUGAAAACCGAGAGUGGCUUAACGGUCAGCGGGGGUUCGAAUCCCUCAGCAUCCG
rnacentral:tRNA from 1 species